UACGGAGGGGGCAAGCGUUACUCGGAAUUAUUGGGCGUAAAGGGCGCGUAGGCGGUCCUGCACGUCGGAGGUGAAAUCCCCGGGCUCAACUCGGGACGUGCCUCCGAUACGGCAGGGCUGGAGUACAGGAGAGGGAAGCGGAAUUCCCAGUGUAGCGGUGAAAUGCGUAGAUAUUGGGAGGAACACCAGUGGCGAAGGCGGCUUCCUGGACUGUUACUGACGCUGAGGCGCGAAAGCAAGGGGAGCAAACAGG
rnacentral:rRNA from 1 species